rnacentral:rRNA from 1 species
AGGUCNANCCUGNCCAAUGAGGAAUUAAAUGGCCGCAGUAUUUNGACUGUGCAAAGGUAGCAUAAUUAUUAGUUUUUUAAUUGAAAGCUUGUAUGAAGGGUUGGACGAGAUAAAAUCUGUCUUUAUUUAAAUUACAAUAGAAUUUAACUUUUAAGUCAAAAGGCUUAAAUGUAUAUAAAAGACGAGAAGACCCUAUAGAUCUUUAUUUAAUUAAUAUUUUGAUAAUUUAAGAUUAUUUUAGUUUAAAGUUUUAAUUAAAUUUUAUUGGGGUAAUAUAGAGAUUAAAUAAAUUCUUUUUAUUUAUUACAUUGAUUUAUGAAUAUAUGAUCCAAUAUUAUUGAUUAUAAGAUUAAGUUACCUUAGGGAUAACAGCGUAAUUUUUUUGGAGAGCUCAUAUCGAUAAAAAAGUUUGCGACCUCGAUGUUGGAUUAAAAAUUAGCUUGGGUGCAGAAGCUCAAGAUUUUGGUCUGUUCGACCAUUAAAUUUUUACAUGAUCUGAGUUCAGACCGGCGUAAGCCAGGUCGGUUUCUAUCUUUAUUUAUCUAAAAUAUUUUAGUACGAAAGGACCAAAUAUUUAAUAUAAUUAUAUUUCUUUUUUGAAUAAUAUU